UGAGCAUCUUGAAUUAGAGAUUUCAGUAUGAAGAAGUCCUAAUAGUUUUGAAGAAUUCUGGUAAGCAUGAUUAUCGAAAUAAUCCUAUAGAGUUGUGUUGUACGUAAGUUACAAAGAGUAGUUGAUUUUAAGUGGUAGCUGUGUUUUAAGUGUGAAGAUCUGCUUUCUGCUGUGGUGAUGUGGCAAGGGCCAGACUGAUCCCCUGCCUUGAACAGCUAGAAACUGUAAAAUGUAUAUGAAAUAACGGUUUCGAGACCUAUGACAGGCGGAGCGGAAGUGUGUGAUCCCUGGCAGAAGGUGUAGAGAGUGAGGUGAGCCCAUAAGAGCCCAGCCUGGUGCCUGGUGCCUGGUGCCUGGUGGCAGUUCCCAGGGUGCACAUCAGGGGAAGGAACAAAUGUGGUCUUGCUGAAUCAAAGAGAAUUGCUGAAUUGGCAUUUGGGGAGGCCAGAGUAGCUAAAGUUUGCAGCGAGUUGUACUGGAGAGGAGAGAGCUUCCCGGAGAGAGGGCUGCAGAAAUCUACAAGGAGUCUGCUUAGUCUUUUGGCUUAGUACUGAUUUGCACAUGUGUGACCAGAAAUUUCCUGAGUCCAGGAAAAGUGCUGGAAAGCAGUCCGCCAAACAGUUCCCAGAAAUCAAUGUAGGGCUGGGAAUAAAAUUCCCACCACCUGAAAUGGCAACGACUUUUAACACAUGGGGCAUCGGGUAGGAUUCCCAGCAGAGUAUUAUCUUAGUAGUGAAGUAAUUAAUCCUAGAUCGAAAGCUAGUCUGGACCCACAAUGUCUGGCAUCCAAAAACAUAGCUGGCAUACACAGGAGCCAUGAGAAUAUGACUUGUAACCAGGAGAAAAAUCAGUCACUAGAAAGGUACAGAAAAAAUGGAAGCAGUUGGCAUUAAAUAAGGAUAUUCAAAUAGCUUUUAUAGAUAUAUGGGAAAACAGGAAUGUGACAGAUGAAUUGGAAGAUGUAUUUUUAAAAGCCUGAGUGGAACUUCUCAGGAUGAAAACAACAAUAUCUGAAAAUUAAAACAAAAAAACAACUUUGGAUGGAAUUAAGAGCAGAUUAGACAUAGAAUAUCAAUGAACUUGAGUGAAAAUAAAAACUGUCCAACUGAUGGACACAGAAAAAAAAAAAAACUCGAAGAAAAGACAAUAGGGAGUUGGUUACAGCAAGGCACGUGUAUUCGUAUGGAGUCCUAGAAGGACAGGGCAGAGAAGAGGCCUAAGAAAGUAUUUGAGUAAAUAACAGAUGAAAUGUUUACACAGAUGAUGAAAAAUGUAACUCCACAUAUUCAAGAAGUUCAAAGAACCUCAAGAUCAUGAAGAAAAUCCUGCUGAUGGACAUCCUAGUCAAACGGAUAAAACCCGAUGAUAAAGAGAACAGUUGUAAAGCACCUGGAGAAAGACAGGAUACUUGCACAGAACAGAGGACCACACACACUUGUGGUCAGAAACUACUCGAGCUGGAACACAACGGAGUGAGGGACAGACAACUUUACAUAAAACCCCCACCACCUGCCGUUUGUCUAUUUCCCAUCAAAAACAUCUUUCAAAUAUGAUAGCAAAAAAAAAAAAAAGUUUCUCAGAGAAGCAAAAUGAAAGAGACUUUAUCUAUAGACCUUAUUUCAGGAAACACUAAAGCAAGUUUUGGUGCAGCAAGAAAAUCCUAGGUGGAAAUGAGGAUCUACAGGAAGAAAAGAGGAGCUCUGGAAGUGGUGAAUAUGUGGGUAAAUAUAAAAGAUCUCUUUCCUCAUUUAAGAGUCUUUUAAAAUGGUAAUUGACUGCUUAAAGCCAAAUAAUGUAUUGUGGGUUAUGAUGUCUUUAGAAGUAAAGUGUAUCUCAACGACAACACUUAAGUGUGAAUCUUCAGAACUAGUUAAAUAGACUGCAUCCUCUGAGUCAGAAACCUGCUUCCCCAGGGCUCAGGGCAACUUGUGUGUGUAGCAGCCACACAGUAGAAUGGCACAUGUGACGGACGUGUGUAUGUGCUGCUCGUUCUCCACAUCCCCCCCCUUUCCCGGCUCUGCACCCCCAGGGGAUGUCCCCUAGGGACGGCCUCAUCAGGGAUUGUGCUUAGGUUUGAACACGGGAGGUACUCAGUCAGCGGGCGGGAGGAGAGAGGUUGGAACACUUAACCCCACGCCCCUGCCUGGACCUCGGUGUGAGUGGUGGGUGUGAGUGGUGUCUGUGCCCGAAGGGCUGCAGCACACCCUCCCCCCCUCCCCCUGCUGCCCUCCUGGCGCCAUAGACCGUUUUUCAGUUAACGCUUCCUUCUCCUUGCUCUUCACAAGUUGGGGUGUUAACUAUUUCUGGGUGCUUACCGACCUCUGGUUGGUUUUGGUUUCCUUAAUUCAGAACACAUACCUGGACAUGGUUCCUCUAGUGAAUGUUCUUAGGUUAAUAUUUUGAGUGUAGCACUUGUUUUCUGUGCCAGGUGUUAAACGAGCAUUUAACACAAUUCUGAGAAUCAGUUACUGGGACAGAAUCAGUUACUGGGACAUGUGCCUCGUCGGGCAUAGACUGACAUCCAUCAAGAUUUCCCACACUAAAUAUCAAUAUUUUCUGUUUUUAACCAGUUCAGUAGAAAUUAUAACAAGCAACAAAAUUCUUUGUGUUUUUUUGUUUUGCUGCAAAUCUAAAUGGCUCCAUAGGUUGUUGUCUGCUACAUAUCCAGUGGUCUUGCACUUACACUAACUCUUGAAACCAAAACAUUUAUGAAGUCUUAUGCUACCUCUCGAUUAGCCAAGCAAUUUACAACAAAAAGAAAAAAAAAUGUCAUUUAUGUUCAAUAUGUAUGGACAAGGAAAAAGAUAGUUUCUGAGUAAGGCAGAAGGGAAUGAUGCUUCAUGCUUCCUAGCUUGUCACUUAGAAACACUGUGCUGUGCAGUUAAAAUGUCCUCAUUCCAGAGUCUGUUGCUUUUUAUUACAUAUAAUCUAUGUAAUCUGUAACCCCCACACAAGACUUCCAUGUCAGCAGGUCAGCAUUACUACAGACAAUCACUUCAGGGGCUCCACCCCAGUGCCUGUCACACACUACCCAGCCUCGUGAAGUGUGAUAAGUUAGGAUGAAAUAAACCACCAAAGAGGCCCAACGUAGCAGCACCGUCCUGUCAUUUGUCGAAUACCUCUUAAGACUUCAUUUCACCUUUCUGUACCCUCUCUCACCCAGUCUGGUAACCACUUUUGAAGGGAAAUAUUGCAUCGGGCUGCACAGCUGUAUUUUCUUUUUCUUUUUUAAAUUUUUUUAAUGCGCCCAAUGUUUGUUUAUUUCUGAGAGAGAGACAAAGCAUGAGUGGGGAGGGGCAGAGAGAGAGGGAGACACAGAAUCUGAAGCAGGCUCCAGGCUCCGAGCUGUCAGCACAGAGCCCGACACAGGGCUCGAACCCACAAGCCGUGAGAUCAUGACCUGAGCCGAAGUCGGACGCUCAACUGACUGAGCCACCCAGGCACCCCUGUAUUUUCUCUCCCAUUUGUGUUUGCAUUUCGAUCUGCAUUUUGAAGAAGCUUUUCACGCAGGUGUUCCUUUUUGUACAACCGCAACGGCACCAUUCACACUGUAGUCUGUGCCAGUAAACUUGUGUAUAACUCUGAUCCUGUCUUUAAGGAAUUAGCUAGCAAAUGAUAUAAAUAUUUCAAAGCUUGGGCACAACUGGACUAGCACUGUGACAGUCAGCUGUGGCAGUGUCUGCAACAGUGCCGUGUGCCCUCUAGGUGGCAGCACAUAAGCCUAACAGCUUUUCCCUCCCCACCCCUUUGUCAUGCUGAAGGUCAGGCUACACUCACUCUCAUUAUCUUAGAAAACUUCAUCUCAUCAUGUCUGUCUGCAGCAUAGACACAGGCAGUGUAACAUCUUGUGACCAGCUCACAAGCAUGACCAGUAGCUAAGUUACGAGGUGCCUCCCAGCGUGGCUCACCCCACCUGUGGACUUGGUGGUGCCAUCUGGUAACUUUAUUUUCUUUGGGGGUCUUUGUAACUUAGGUCACAGUGACUACUCAUUGAAUCCAGGUAGUCUGGACAUCUUGUCAUUGAGCCUAUUCCUUUCAGAUGCUAAGAUUAAAUAAACCAGGGAACACCAACUUUAUUGAAUAACUAAGUCAUUAUACAUAGAUAUUUUACAACACCUAAAUCAUUAAAAGUGCCCAACAAAUAGUGUAGCUAUAGAAGCAGCCACUGGUAAGAUAAGAGAGAAAUACAAAUGAAGUGACAUUUGUUAUCAGAUUCUCAUUUAAAGCAUUGCUAUGAUUCCUAGCAUUAAAAUUAUUUACAAAAAACCCACAUCAAGCUGAGAUUCCCAAGAAGAUGGGGAAGCAGAUUAACUUCUAGCAUUUGUUAGAGAGGGGUUAUGUUAAGGAAGCAUAUUAAACUACCACUACCAUUGGAAUGGCUGUGUGGCUUUAUCUCCAAACCAUGGUGGCCACAGGGCCGCUCUAAGUGCAUGAACAAGUCAUAUAUACUUAUUCUGUUGUAUGUGUUUGUACAGAGCAGAAUGUGUCAGGCAAUGACAUCUGAGAUCUGGGCCACCUGUGCCUCACACACAAGGACAGGGCAGACAGCUAAUGAACAAGGUCAGCUGUUGUCCCUUUGGUGAGAAGCAGGCUGUAAGUUGCUGGCAUGUGUUUCCACUGCCUGGUGCACCUGGAGAGCAAGGGCGCCUGUGGGAGCUGUGGGAGCUCAGACUGGUGCACACACAUCUCUCUGCUGUGCUUGAAAAGAAAAUCUCUGUACCUGUAUGUUUACUGAGUAAACUGUUGAAUGAAUUAA